rnacentral:lncRNA from 1 species
CGCCUCAUUUGGGUUUGGCUGAUCAAAAAGGAAGGCUUUCUGCCUCUUCCUUCUUUGAAAUGUAACCUGCAUCUUGGUUUUCAACAUCUGGCAGGCACAUCUGAUCUAAUCUCUACCAAGUUUGGCAGCAUAACAUUGACCACUCGAUUAGUAAAUUGACCGAUCAUUUAACUCAAAACAAUAUGAUAACAAAUGGCUAAGUAGGCUAUUUAGCUAUGCUCAGCGCCACACAGACAGUGAAUAAAGUAAUCCUGUAGCCUAUCAUUCAUCUGGGCCUUAUUGCGCAAACAAAAAAGUAAUAUAGUUUUGCAUGUUACAGCAUAGUACUCCCUGAGAUAAGACCACUGAUCAACGCAACGUUCUCCCAUUUACUGUUCUAAAAUAGCCUAACGUCUCUCAGUAUAGCGAUAAUUAAGCUAGGCCUAAAGUGAGAAAGAGCACAGUAUUUCUUUCUACAAAUGGAAUAAUUCCGUAAAAUAUGGAUUUCUUUUUCACUGUUCAUUAAAUGUUUUGCUGCUAACAUGUGAAAGAGGGGGAGAGACCUAUUGUACCUGGCAGAGUUACUGUGCACGUUACUAACUUCUAGGCAGGGAAAAAUGCAUCCCCAUGUGUAGACUGCACCCUAGGGUUAACUACCGGGCUGCAGAAAUGUGACAAAAUCAACGUAUAAACCGCGGUUAAUAGUCAGGAAAUCACGGUAACGCACAGCUUGUUGCCCUAUGAAAUGAGGGGCCCUAUGUCUUAACCCACUAAAACACACUAUGGAUCUCAAAUGGUUCUUUCUGUUCCUUAGUGUCACAGAGAAGAGACCAGAGUCACCUACACAGAGCUGUGUGUCCAUGAAGAGUGAUUCAUCAAAGGACUUCAACCCACCCAACUUCAGAGAGGGAGAGCUGCCCUCUGAGCAAAGUGUCACAGAGAAGAGACCAGAGUCACCUACACAGAGCUGUGUGUCCAUGAAGAGCGAUUCAUCAAAGGACUUCAACCCACCCAACUUCAGAGAGGGAGAGCUGGCCUCUGAGCAAAGGUAUUUUGAGCUACUCCUACUAGCUCAUCCCCUGAUUAAUGUAUUUUCUUCACAGGGCUGGUCAUAUUCU